ACCUUGAUGCAUUCUUUCUUACUGUCCUCAGUACACUGAGAUACGACCUUCAGUGUGAACAAGGAUGGGCUGGAAAUUGGACUGGGGCCACACCGUCAGGAGAUGCAGUAAUGGGAAACACAGCCCCCAUUGGAAGCCCAGACACCAGGAGAGACUAAACUCCAUGCAAACAUUAGCCGAAC
rnacentral:lncRNA from 1 species